GUAAUGUAUAUUGUUACAUCAGAGAAGGUUGUGGCCUACAUUUCACUAAUCUAUAAUUCUGUUUGCAGUACCUUUUUUGAAGAGUGUCAUGGUGAGGACAGCCGCAGCCUCCUUCUGCCAUACCUGUCCAGGCUGCAGAAACAAAUCUCCAACAUAACCAAGUUUACCACCUACCCAGGACAUGGUCUGGUCACCGUACUUCUAUCCAGCAAGCACUUCCACAGCAAGGACCUGCAAAAGCCUCUGUCCUCAAACCCCCAGGCUUCUCAACUCACUUAGUAACCUAUACAUUGUACAUUAGAGUGUGGACAAAAGUUUCUUCCUGCUUUGGAGUACUGGCGCAUUUUCUGAUUGGCAAUAAAGUUGGCUUUAACAAUUACAUAUUUUACUGAACUCUUAUUUUAAGAGGGAAAAAAAAAAACUUGUACUUGUAUUCAGGAAAACAUAAUAUUGAAAUUACAUGUAUUUCUUUUUCUUAUAUGGUUAGCUAUAAAGGUGAAAAAAAUCUAUUGCUUAGAAAGAUUGCAAAAACAAAAAAACACAUUUCUAUUA